UUAAGUUCAGCGGGUAUUCCUACCUGAUCCGAGGUCAACCUUUAGAAAUUGGGGUGUUUUACGGCGGGGGACGAUCCAACUACAGAGACGAGAUAAAAUUUACUACGCCUAGAGUGUGAACCGACUCCGCCACUAACUUUAAGGAACUACAUUGCUGUAUGUUCCCAAUACUAAGCAACGAGGGCUUAAGGGUUGAAAUG
rnacentral:misc_RNA from 1 species